ACGUCAGUGCUUGUAACUGGGAGUACAUUGAUCUAGUACAAGUUUACAGGUGGGAAGUCAUGGGUUUGACUGCCAUUUCAGUGCAUUUUCACUGGUAGAAGGUUGGAAGAACAUGGGUUAGGGGUUGCCUGG